rnacentral:rRNA from 1 species
AUUGAACGCUGGCGGCAGGCCUAACACAUGCAAGUCGAACGAGUGGCGGACGGGUGAGUAAUGUCUGGGAAACUGCCUGAUGGAGGGGGAUAACUACUGGACACGGUAGCUAAUACCGCAUACCAUCAGAUGUGCCCAGAUGGGAUUAGCUAGUUUGUGGGGUCACGGCUCACCAAGGCGACGAUCAAUAGCUGGUCUGAGAGGAUGACCAGCCAAAGUGGAACUGAGACACGGUCCAGACGCAUACGGGAGGCAGCAGUGGGGAAUAUUGCACAAUGGGCGCAAGCCUGAUGCAGCCAUGCCGCGUGUAUGAAGAAGGACUUCGGGUUGUAAAGUACUUUCAGCGGGGAGGCGUUACCCACAGAAGAAGCACCGGCUAACUCCGUGCCAGCCGCCGCGGUAAUAC